CUACGGGGUGCAGCAGUGGGGAAUAUUGCACAAUGGGGGAAACCCUGAUGCAGCGACGCCGCGUGAGUGAAGAAGUAUUUCGGUAUGUAAAGCUCUAUCAGCAGGGAAGAAAAUGACGGUACCUGAGUAAGAAGCACCGGCUAAAUACGUGCCAGCAGCCGCGGUAAUACGUAUGGUGCAAGCGUUAUCCGGAUUUACUGGGUGUAAAGGGAGCGUAGGUGGCAUGGCAAGCCAGAAGUGAAAACCCGGGGCUCAACCGCGGGAUUGCUUUUGGAACUGUCGUGCUGGAGUGCAGGAGGGGUAAGCGGAAUUCCUAGUGUAGCGGUGAAAUGCGUAGAUAUUAGGAGGAACACCGGUGGCGAAGGCGGCUUACUGGACUGUAACUGACACUGAGGCUCGAAAGCGUGGGGAGCAAACAGGAUUAGAUACCCCCGUAGUC
rnacentral:rRNA from 1 species